rnacentral:rRNA from 1 species
AGCCUGUUCUAUAAUCGAUGAUCCACGAUACACCUUACCAUUUUUUGCUUUCCUCAGCCUGUAUACCUCCGUCGACAGCUUACCAUUUGAAUGUCAUAAGUAGGCGAAAUGAGCUACCGGCCCCCGCCCGCCCUCAAUACGUCAGGUCAAGGUGCAGCCUACAAAAUGGAAAAUAAUGGGCUACAAUUUCUAAUAUAGAACAAACGAAAAACUACAUGAAACUUAGUCAUGAAGGCGGAUUUAGCAGUAAAAGAAGAACAGCAAGCUUCUUUUAAACGAGCCCU